rnacentral:rRNA from 1 species
UGGCGCGACGGGUGCGUAACGCGUGGGAAAUUCUGUCCCGUUGGGGUUCGGAAUAACAGUUAGAAAUGACUGCUAAUACCGAAUGAUGUCUUCGGACCAAAGAUUUAUCGCCCAAGGAUGAGCCCGCGUCGGAUUAGCUAGUUGGUGAGGUAAAGGCUCACCAAGGCGACGAUCCGUAGCUGGUCUGAGAGGAUGAUCAGCCACACUGGGACUGAGACACGGCCCAGACUCCUACGGGAGGCAGCAGUGGGGAAUAUUGGACAAUGGGCGAAAGCCUGAUCCAGCAAUGCCGCGUGAGUGAUGAAGGCCUUAGGGUUGUAAAGCUCUUUUACCCGGGAUGAUAAUGACAGUACCGGGAGAAUAAGCCCCGGCUAACUCCGUG